rnacentral:lncRNA from 1 species
AGAAAGUAAAGCACAGAUCCAGGAAAGACAGAGAACAUCAAGCAGGAUAAAUACCAAAAUAAAACAAACUCCUACACCUAGGUAUAUUAUAUUCAAAUUGCAGAGAAACAAAGACAAAGAGAAAACAUAGAAAGAAGCCAGAGGGAAAAAACACCUUAUCUAUAGAGGAACAAAGACAAAAACUACAGUGGCCUUCUCAUCAGAAACCAUGCAAGCAAGAAGAGAGGGGUGUGAAAUAUUUAACAUGUUGAAAGAAAAAAAUCCACCAAGCUAGAAUUCUAUACACAGCAAAAUUACUUCAAAACUGGAGAAAUAAAGCCUUUAUCAAACCAACAAAAUCUGAGAUAAUUUAUCACCAGCAGACAUACUCUGCAAGAAAUUUUAAAAGAAGUUUUUCAGGUAGAAGGAAAAUUAAGUGGAUCAGAGACACGAUCUUCAAAAAGAAGGGGAGAAGGAGAAAGUGUGUCAGAGAAGAAACAAAUGAAGGCCCAGGCACCGAUCCUAAGAGGGUAGGAUUUUUUCCUUCCUUACCCUGGAUUCAGCUGUGGUGCUCCACCCCAACAAAUUGUCUAGAUAACCUAUCCCCGUACUUCAUGUUUCAGCCCAAGUGUAAUCUCUUCCAGAAAGCAUUCCCGGACCCCC